UCCAGGGUAGCCUAGUGGACAUAGCAUCUGCCCAGUAAGAGGUACAGUGUGGGUUCGAUUCCCAUCCCUGGAC
rnacentral:tRNA from 1 species